CAGCAGCAGGCAGCCUUCCCCGGCAGGGGAGCGCUUUGGAACACGCGGGAAGAGAAAUGAACGGGUGAAAAGGCAAGCGGGUGUGCGCUGCACUUACAAACAAGAGGAAGGAUGUAAGUGAGGAGGAAUCAAAGCUCUGCUGAGGCGUCCCCAGCGUGUCUUUAGCAGAAUGCAGCACGUGAGUCUGUAAAACAGAGUAUCCAGCAUGAGUGAGGCCGAAAUGACCCACAUAUCACCUACAUGUUAUGAGAUGUCAACCAAAAUGAGGACAAGAUGCUGUUCUUCAUCUUCAUCCCAUACAAUCCUUGAAAACUCCUGAAUUUUCAAGGAACUAACUGAAAAUUUUCUCUUAAGAGAACUGCAAGUUUUAAAUAAGUCAUAUUCAUUACUUGCCAUCCAAACCUUUCCUUUUUAGUAUAUAUGUGGAAUCUAGGUAUGUAUUUUCUCAUUGCUUCAGCCUAAAAAAAUGCACCGAACAAAUGCUCCAACAUUAAAGCUACAUUCAUUCCAGGACUUGGCAAGACUCUAUAAACCUCAAGUCAAUAGCUAUGGGAAGAGUUCUUUUAUGGUCUGAUGGGAAUAUCUACAAGAAAGCAUCAGAAACCAAGCACCUUUCUUUCCCAGCUCAGUUACCAAAUUUAUUUCCUUCAUUGGUGCUCAACCAGCUGCAAGGUCUGAGAAGUGUGUAAUGCAUUUUCAGCACAAAAAGUGUCAUCUGUGUGGAUUUAAAAGUUGUGUGUGUAUAAAAAUAAUAAAGUUCAGUGAUAAUUUGAGGCAACCUAGACAGAGGAAACUAGACAAGGAAGAGUUCAGCAGCUCAUCAAGCCUUUUCAAUGAUCCCACUAAGUAACUUUCCCAAGGCUCAGUCAUGCUACCAGGAAAGAAGAAACAAGUCUACAUGGCAUGGUUUGGUACUCACCCCAGCUCUGCUUAGUCCCUGCACCAGGCAGACAAUCAGUCAACAGUUACACAGAUUUUUUUAUGCACAGCACAUUUUCCUUCCCCAGGGAACUCCCAGCAGAGGGGACUAAAGCUGCCCCGGCUCCUUCUUUACCUCUUCAGGAGCCAGGCUGCAGACAGGGCAAACAAGAGAACCCCUCCAUGGGGUGUGACACAGGCACAAACUGCCUCAAUGGGGAACUGUUCCAGCCAGAAGAUUUCAAAACAAUCACAAAAAUCCACUACUUUCUUGAGGCUGUGUUUUCCCAAGGUCGUUGUGAUCAGUGUUUUGCCUAUUAGAUUGAAAUUUCUUGAGAAAGUAUGUAACUUUCAAAGGGCCAAGUUAGCUGUUGUUGUUACAGUAACAUACAGUGUCAUUUUGUAAAUAAUGACAAAGUAUUUUGGAAUAAUUUUUGUGUCAGUGAAAAGCAGCCAGAAGGCAUGGAAUUUGGCUCCUCUGGAAAAGUAGCAAACAUUUAUUUUAUGUUCCACUUUCUCUGGGGGGAGCGGGAAGCUCAUUUUGAAAAGGUCAAAAUUUACAGGAGGAAAAGGAAGGCUUUAAAUCCCUAAAAUGCAACAGGUUUAACUCUGUCCCUUUUAAUCAUCUGGACUGUGUGAUGAUUAUGAUCUUGGCUGACACCAAAUUAAGGAAAACUGAAACCAGAUGGUGUAGCUGAAGAUUUCUAUACUGAUCUUUUAAAGUAGCACUGACACACUGAAGAGAGGUGAAACACAAUUAUGUGAGGAAAGCACCAACAAACUGCAACCUGCAAGGGAGGAGUUUCAAAGCACUCAGGUCUUUGGUGGCUGCAUGGUAACAGUGACUGGCAAACACAACAUACUCUGAAAAUAAAUUCCUUUCUCCACUAAAUUA